AGUACUGCCGCCCAGUAUCACUUCUACAUGUCUGCGCGUUCCGUGGACAUACAGCACUGUGUGGGCUGCUGAUAACAAAUGGUGUCGAUGUUAAUGUCCGAGAUAAGAUUGAUAGCACACCACUCCACUUUGCAGCAUCCGGAGGUCAUGUGUCCGUAAUAGAAUGUCUGUUGAAUGCUGGACAUCCAUUGGAAGCGAAACAGUUGGAUGGUAUCACACCAUUACACUGGGCAGCAUCGUGUGGACAUGUUCCCGUAGCAGAAUAUCUAAUUAAUUCUGGACAUUCGCUGGACCCAAAG